AAAAAGACAAACCCUGAGUUUCCGUGUUCAACUUUGACUGUCCGUCUUAUAUGAUUUUUUUGUAUAAUUCGUAUUUUUAUUGUUGUUAGAUGAUAAAACAUAAUUAAUAUUUUAUGCGUGACUUGUCUUUUUAAUUUUUUUUAUAAUUUUUUCAAAUAAGACGAACGGUCAAACGUUGGGCACGGAAACC
rnacentral:pre_miRNA from 1 species